UACGAAGGUCCCAAGCGUUGCUCGGAAUCAUUGGGCGUAAAGCGGGUGUAGGUGGUCUUGUAAGUCAGGAGUGAAAGCCCAGGGCUCAACCCUGGAAGUGCUUUUGAUACUGCGAGACUUGAGUGUGGGAGAGGGCACUAGAAUUCCUGGUGUAGUGGUGAAAUACGUAGAGAUCAGGAGGAACACCGGUGGGGAAGCCGGGUGCCUGGCCCAACACUGACACUCAGACCCGAAAGCGUGGGGAUCAAACAGG
rnacentral:misc_RNA from 1 species